rnacentral:pre_miRNA from 15 species
CCCUGGACAAUCCACGUGUUCUCUUGUCCUUCAUUCCACCGGAGUCUGUCUGCUGCCACCAGACUUCAGUGGAGUGAAGCUCAGGAGCCGUGGAGCUGC